CUUACCCUUCUACGUUUCUCAUCUCACUCUCACACACAACUCCGUCUCAUUCCUCCUCCACCUCACCAGGUGUGACUGCUACUGUUUUGGAGUUUUGAAGACAUUAGAGCCUCUUGGUUUUCAUGAUGAAGAGAAAUGGUGUGCAAGAAGAUUAGAGAUUAUGAAUAGGAGAGGUUGUUGAAGGAGCAUUAGAAGAAGCUCGCCGACAUCAAAUUGGGCAUUAAAUAAGCACAAAGUGCAUGUGAUUUCUUAGAUUUGCAAAUGUAAUUUUGUAUUAUUUUGUCUUCGCAAAUUGACUUUAGGACUCUUCAAUGAUGAGCUUCUAGAAUGGGUUGUGAUUCUCAGCAAUA